rnacentral:misc_RNA from 1 species
UAUUCCCUCGAGUCUAAAUUGGGGGAUUGUAAGCGUGCUGCUGCAAUCAGGCGCGAGGCCUUGCAGAGGAUAACUGGCAAGUCUCUCUCUGGGUUACCACUGGAGGGCUUUGAUUACGAGUCAAUCUUGGGGCAGUGUUGCGAGAUGCCAGUUGGGUAUGUCCAAAUUCCCGUUGGAAUUGCUGGACCUUUGUUGCUAGACGGCAAGGAAUACUCGGUUCCCAUGGCUA